GAUGAACGCUAGCGGCAGGCCUAAUACAUGCAAGUCGAACGGGAUUGAGGAGCUUGCUUUUCAUGAGAGUGGCGAACGGGUGCGUAACGCGUAUGCAAUCUACCUUUUACAGAGGGAUAGCCCAGAGAAAUUUGGAUUAAUACCUCAUAGUAUUUUCGAAUCGCAUGGUUUGAUUAUUAAAGUUCCAACGGUAAAAGAUGAGUAUGCGUCCCAUUAGCUAGAUGGUAAGGUAACGGCUUACCAUGGCAACGAUGGGUAGGGGUCCUGAGAGGGAGAUCCCCCACACUGGUACUGAGACACGGACCAGACUCCUACGGGAGGCAGCAGUGAGGAAUAUUGGACAAUGGGCGCAAGCCUGAUCCAGCCAUGCCGCGUGCAGGAAGACGGUCCUAUGGAUUGUAAAACUGCUUUUAUACAGGAAGAAACACACCCUCGUGAGGGUACUUGACGGUACUGUAUGAAUAAGCAUCGGCUAAACUCCGUGCCAG
rnacentral:rRNA from 1 species